rnacentral:rRNA from 1 species
UACGGAGGAUCCAAGCGUUAUCCGGAUUUAUUGGGUUUAAAGGGUGCGUAGGCGGCCUGUUAAGUCAGGGGUGAAAGACGGUAGCUCAACUAUCGCAGUGCCCUUGAUACUGAUAGGCUUGAAUACACUUGAAGUAGGCGGAAUGUGACAAGUAGCGGUGAAAUGCAUAGAUAUGUCACAGAACACCGAUUGCGAAGGCAGCUUACUAAAGUGUGAUUGACGCUGAGGCACGAAAGCGUGGGGAUCAAACAGG